GACUGGCUGGUCUAACGGCAUGACGCUCCACUCUCAAAUUUGAACACUCCCGGAGCAGUGUGGGUUCGAAUCCCGCGCUGGUCG